GCGCGAAACCUUUACAAUGCACGCAAGUGUGAUAAGGGAACCCUAAGUGCUUUACUUUUAGUAAGGCUUUUGCCAAGAGUAAAUAUCUUGGAGAAUAAGUGGUGGGCAAGACUGGUGCCAGCAGCCGCGGUAACACCAGCGCCACGAGUGGCAAUCGUAAUUAUUGGGCCUAAAGCGUCCGUAGCCUGUUUAAGCCGUCUUUUGUGAAAUCGUUGUGCUCAACAUAACGGUGUGCAAGAGAUACCCUUAAACUUGGAACCGGGAGGAGUCAGAGGUAUUCUGGGGGGAGCGGUAAAAUGCUAUAAUCCCCGGAGGACCACCUGUGGUGAAGACGUCUGACUAGAACGGCUUCGACGGUGAGGGACGAAAGCCAGGGGAGCAAACCGGAUUAGAUACCCGAGUAGUCCUGGCUGUAAACGCUGUGAGGAAGGUGUCACACAUUCUUUAUGGAUGUGUGGUGUCGAAAUGAAGAUGUUAAGCUCACCGCCUGGGAAGUAUGGUCGCAAGGCUGAAACUUAAAGGAAUUGG
rnacentral:rRNA from 1 species